GGACUUGGGAGUGGCUCUCUCCUUCCCCAGAGCUUUAUAAAACUUCAGCCCAGAGGCUCCAGCUCUGCGAACUACAUCCUAUUUCCCUGCUCUGGUGAGUUCUUCUCCCUGAUGUAGCAGAGAGCCCAGGGACUUCUUUAUGGACUCGGGGGUUCUCCCUUGUAAGCAGGUUCAGGCAGAGAUUCAGGAAGUAGCUUUAGGAGAGCUGGCAGUGGUCCUUGUGGGUGGGAGGACAGAAUGAGAGGGAUGAGUAGGCAGGGAUCCUCCCUCACUGGACCCCCGAGGUCUGUUUGAGGGCUUGAGGAAUCUGAAGAGUCAUUUUCUAGAACCUUGUCAACUGCAUGCAGGAGUGGGGUAGACGAGUAGGUUCUUGCACUGAGCACCCUCCGAUUCCGUUAGCAGAAGUAGUGUGUGGGACUGAAGAUGGGUCUGGCCCGAUUGAUCCUGAGCUCAGUGGGGUUUUGCCAACCCUAGGCUUCUCUCCUAGGAACAGUAGCUAGUACGUGGGAGGACAGUGAUGCAACAUAAACAGCCAUUGGAGACAAGCAGUCUCCUGACCCUAAGAAAGGGAGUGGCAGAAAGAAAGGACCAUUGGAGUAGAGGCCCCACAGCGGAUGUUACCACACUCAGAGAACUCUAAAAAAAAAAAAAAACCCUUGCAGCACUGGUAGAAACCACUAUCGAGAUAUCCCCGAGGCAGACACUCAGACACAAGAGUCAGAAAGAAAGGAUUUCUGUAAGUGAGAUUCUGUUGUUUGUCCUGGACCCUUUCAUCUCUCCCAUGUUGACUCUUUCAGGAAGCCACUUCACCUGUUCUUGGAUCCCUGACUCUCCUGGCCUGUUUCUUCCCGGGCAGGUCAGUCUGUGCGGACAUCAGCUCCUUCUUUGGCGUACUGAUGGCAUCAGAGCCCCUGACUGAACUGGAGGAGGCCAUUGAAACCAUAAAGGAGACAUACCACACUUAUACAGUGGUGGGAGACCGAGGUUACCACCUGAACUUCAAAGUGUUUAAGAAACUGGUCACCCAAGAGCUGCCUCAUUUUCUCAAGUGUUCCCGGGCCUGUGAGGAUAAUGUGAAACUACCAUCCAUUCCCUGUGAGUAUUCCCUUAGGAAGGGGCUCCUUCAACAGAGGUGAGUGGGGAGUCUAACACCGACUCUGAGCUUGUGUGCUGU
rnacentral:lncRNA from 1 species